rnacentral:rRNA from 1 species
UACGGAGGGUGCAAGCGUUAUCCGGAUUCACUGGGUUUAAAGGGUGCGUAGGUGGGCAGGUAAGUCAUUGGUGAAAUCUCUGGGCUUAACCCGGAAACUGCCGUUGAUACUAUCUGUCUUGAAUAUAGUGGAGGUGAGCGGAAUAUGUCAUGUAGCGGUGAAAUGCUUAGAUAUGACAUAGAACAUCGAUUGCGAAGGCAGCUCGCUACACUAUGAUUGACACUGAGGCACGAAAGCGUGGGGAUCAAACAGG